AUGCCCAUCUUAGACUCAAAAUUGAAAAAAGGGGAACUACAACCGGUGUGUGAUAAAAUCCUAGGAAGGAUGAAGGGGUGGAAACUGACCCUGUUAAGUCUGGACGGGAGGUUGGACUUGGUUAAGAAGGUUUUGUCAGCAAUGCCAAUGAUUGCAAUUCAUAUUCCAACCUGGCUCGAGAAGAUGAUCGACAAGGUCAGGAGAGGGUUUCUUUGGGAAAGGAAGGAAGAGGCCACUAGUGGCAAAUGCUUGGUAAACUGGAAAAGGGUCUGUCGCCCAACUGAAUUUGGUGGCCAAGGGAUCAUAAAUUUUGCGGCGCAGAGUAUUGCGCUCCGUGCCAGGUGGCUUUGGCAAACGUGGACUGAUGGGAGCAAACCGUGGCUUGGUCUGGACAUGCCUAUCGACCCCAAGGUCAGGGCACUAUUCAAUGCAUCGGUCGUCUUCCACAUUGGCAAUGGAGAGCGAAUUUCCUUCUGGAAGGAACCAUGGCACAACGGCGUCAGCCUCUAG
rnacentral:rRNA from 1 species